rnacentral:rRNA from 1 species
AAGGCACCACCAGGAGUGGAGCCUGCGGCUUAAUUUGACUCAACACGGGGAAACUCACCCGGCCCGGACACCGUAAGGAUGGACAGAUUAAAAGCUCUUUCUUGAUUCAGUGGGUGGUGGUGCAUGGCCGUUCUUAGUUGGUGGAGUGAUUUGUCUGGUUAAUUCCGAUAACGAACGAGACUCUGUUCUGCUAAAUAGUACGUUGAUAUUGACCCUUUCGGGGGUUCCCGCCAACGCAGACUUCUUAGUGAGAUUGGCAGCAUUUAAGCUGCACGAAAUAGAGCAAUAACAGGUCUGUGAUGCCCUUAGAUGUCCGGGGCCGCACGCGCGCUACAAUGACAGUAUCAGAAAGUAUUGAAACCUGGUCUGAAAAGAUUGGGAAAUCUUGGCAUUACUGUCUCCUCAGGGAUUGAGAUUUGUAAUUAUCUCUCAUGAACGAGGAAUUCCCAGUAGGCGCAAGUCAUCAGCUUGCGUCGAUUACGUCCCUGCCUUUUGUACACACCGCCCGUCGCUACUACC